CCCCCCCGCCGGACUUCCCUAGAGAUGACCCUCCCCGGGAGUUUUCUUGGCCCCGCCCACAAACCCAACUCUGAGUCUGAUUGGACGGCAACAAAGGGAGGCUCCGCCUAUGGUUCCAGGACAAAGCAGACAGCCCCCUCUCAGACUAGAAAGUUCAUCUAGUCCCCCCAGACUAGGCCCUCAGUGGUGGGGUUGCCCUGCUGGGGGCUGGGGUGAACUCGACACGAGACCAGCCCAGACCUCUCCUCUGGGGAAACCCAAACCGAGGAUCAGACCUGAGGAAAUGAACCUGAGGUAGAGACAACCUGAUAAAUCUUUAUUUGCACCUUGG